GACGAACGCUGGCGGCGCGCCUAACACAUGCAAGUCGAGCGAGAACCAGGGCUUCGGUCCUGGGGACAGCGGCGAACGGGUGAGUAUCACGUGGGUAACCUGCCCUCGGCACCGGGAUAGCCCGGGGAAACUCGGAUUAAUACCGGACAGCCUCACUAGCCCUCGGGCGAGUGAGAAAAGGUGGCUUCGGCUUCCGGCUGAGGAUGGGCCCGCGGCCGAUUAGCUUGUUGGUGGGGUAAUGGCUCACCAAGGCUCCGAUCGGUAGCUGGUCUGAGAGGACGAUCAGCCACACUGGGACUGAGACACGGCCCAGACUCCUACGGGAGGCAGCAGUGGGGAAUCUUGCGCAAUGGGCGAAAGCCUGACGCAGCGACGCCGCGUGCGGGAAGAAGGCCUUCGGGUUGUAAAGCUCUUUCAGCUGGGAAGAUAAUGACGGUACCAGCAGAAGAAGCCCCGGCUAACUCCGUGCCAGCCGCCGCAGUAAAAC
rnacentral:rRNA from 1 species